CAGAAGUAGAUGGAAUGAGUAACUGCAGAGAAGAUGGGCUGGGAAGUUUUGGUUCACUGUCACACAGGAACAUGGCAAGAGAUGCAGUAGCGUAAAUCAUUUAUAGUUCAGCUCUCCACUCAAACCUGGGACAACCACAGAACUUUUCUGCGAUGACCAUCCUUCAUCCCUGCUGUGCUGCUCGAUCCUGCUGUUCUUGGAGUUGAACACUAAUGGGCUUAAGCUUUCCAGGACUCAGGCGUUCCCAGACACAUCUCCUAACAAACAGCCUGAUGGAUUUGGAAGCAAGUUCCUUGACCUUUGGCUGCAGGGUUGCCUUAUGGCCUCCACUAAAAUAAAGAAGUGUAAUCUCCAUGGUGCAAAAUAGAAGUCAGCAAAUCUCCUGCCAAGAAGCAGACAAGGAAAAAUGGUUUCUGGGCCUCUUCU
ensembl:lncRNA